rnacentral:rRNA from 1 species
UAUAUAUUUAAUAAUAAUUUUAAAAAUAGAAUAGAUUAAAUGUGAUUUAUAUUAAUUUUAAUACUUUAAAUUCUUUAAAAUUUAAUAUUUAAUUUUAUAACUAAAAUUUAAAUUUUAACUAGAGAUUUAAAUUAUUUUUAAUUAAAUAUGUGCCAGCAAUUGCGGUUAUACUUAUGAUAAAAUUUUAUUUUAAUUGUUUUAUAAUUAAUUAAAAAUAAAUUUUAAUUUAUUAAUUUUAAGUGAAAUUUAAUUAAUAUAAAAAUUUAUUAGAUAAUUUGAAUUUUUAAUUUUUAAUUAAAUUAGAAUUAGAUACUCUAUUAUAUAAAUUAUUAAUUUAAUAGAAAAUUAAAUGGUUACUCAUUAAAUUUAAUUUUUAUGGUAGUAUUUUUUAUGAUUAGAGGAACUUGAUGAUUAAAUUGAUAAUACACGAUUUAACUUACUUGAUUUUAUUUUAUUUUUGUAUAUUUGUUUAAAAUUUUUUAUAAAAAUAUUUUUUAAAUUUUAUUAAUUAAAAUUAAUUCAAAUCAAUAUUAAAUUAAAUUUAUAGGUUUAAUUGAGUUACAUUAUUAUUUUAAAAUGUUUAUAUAUUUAUAUUUUAUAAUUUUAUAUAAAAUGGAUUUAAUUUUAAAUAUUAAUAAUUAUUAAUAUUGAAUUAUAUAUUUAGUAUAUUCAAAUUGCCCGUCAUUCUAUUUAUAGACAAGUCGUAACAUGGUAAAAUUAUUGGAAGAUAAUGUUAG